GGCAGCGCGUCUGGUACCGUGCGGCUCGGGAGGGGGUGGUUGUGCAGCGGAGGGUCGUCGUCGUCUCCAGGGCGAUAACCGUGACCAGCGGCAGGGGGUUGAGAGGAGGAGGGGAGCAGCUUGGGGCCGUGCCCACUGCCCUGGGCAGCCGUUCCAUGCCCACCGCCCUGUGGUGCAGCCCCUUUCCCUCACCCCCCGCUGCCCCUCCCCUGACAGCUCCAUGCCGUUCCCUCGGGCCCUGUUCCCACCCGCCACCGCUCAUGGAGCAGAGGCUGUGGUACGUGCUGAGGAAGAAGGACUUGGAAGAUCUUGAGAACAGACACUGCUUCUGUGGUCUGAUUCUUGUAGAAGCAGUGACUGCGUUCCCUCAGACAAGGAUUUUCAAAAUCCAUUUGUAAUUCAAAAACAGGAACUGAGGACUCCUGGAAGGAAGAGGGAAACACAGAAUCUGCUGGUUUUAGUGAGAAAGUGCUUGGUCGUGAUGCAAAAAUUCCUGAAAAUGUGUAAAUGAUUCUGAAGUUUAAGAAGCUUUUGAAUCAGUUAACAGUUUCCAGUGUGCAAGUUGGGCUGAAAUAAGAUACCAGUCUUGAUUCUAAGAAGUUACCCAAGGAAUCCUAAAACAUGCAACAGAUGAGGUACCUAAGACAGACAUGGGCACGUGUUUUGUGUCAUACAUUAAAACAUAUGUGAAGUUCAAUUCCUGUCCACACCAGAGACAUUAGCUUUUGGCUAGUGCCAGAAAUGAUCAAGAAAACCGUUGUUUGGUUCCAAAAUUCUGAAAUGGGAAACAUCAUUUAUUUUCAGUAGAUGGGGGUAGUAAUGAGUGGUUCUCCUGCAAACACCUAAUUCUCUUGGCUGACUGCGGAUGGACUGUAGAAGGAUGAGCUCAGAUGUCAUAUUUUUGACCUCUACAUUGGGACAGAGCGAUCCCAUUCCUAAAGUCGUGCUGAACAUCCUGGGGAAGCAAGAACAAAUUUGAAGCUGAGCUGAGCGUAAAUCCUGGCAAGAACAAUUAUACCUGCAGGCGAGAUAUAUAUUGCUUUUCUUGUCUUCUAGCAGUGUGCUGCAUCCUUUUAUCCCCAGAAUAUGCUGAUCGUUCAUCUUUUGAACAUGAAUUUUUCAGGACAAGGACCACCUCUAAUGACAUGUUUAUAUAGUCCUUAGUACAGUGUUCGCUGUGACUACUAAGUAUUCCUGUAAUGGAAAUUAUAGCACGUCUCAUGAAGAAGGGGCUUCCAUGCAUAGGCCACUGAAGCAAAAAUGAAAAGGUAGUGCACAAGCAAAGGAGAUGGACAAUACAAAUGCUUCCACGCAGCCAAUUUGCCAUGAUGGAAGGCCCCCUGGGCUGUAUGAACCGUUCCCUUUUUUUGGAUGAUAUGUUGGUAGUCACGUCUCACAGCAAGCAAUCAGAGGUUUCUGGAGGAUGUGGAACUAGUUAGUUCCUUGUCCAUUAGUACGACUAUAAAAGCACAGCUCCAGUAUGG
ensembl:lncRNA